GACGAACGCUGGCGGCGUGCCUAAUACAUGCAAGUUGAGCGCUGAAGGUUGGUACUUGUACCAACUGGAUGAGCAGCGAACGGGUGAGUAACGCGUGGGGAAUCUGCCUUUGAGCGGGGGACAACAUUUGGAAACGAAUGCUAAUACCGCAUAAAAACUUUAAACACAAGUUUUAAGUUUGAAAGAUGCAAUUGCAUCACUCAAAGAUGAUCCCGCGUUGUAUUAGCUAGUUGGUGAGGUAAAGGCUCACCAAGGCGAUGAUACAUAGCCGACCUGAGAGGGGGAUCGGCCCCAUUGGGACUGAGACACGGCCCAAACUCCUACGGGAGGCAGCAGUAGGGAAUCUUCGGCAAUGGACGAAAGUCUGACCGAGCAACGCCGCGUGAGUGAAGAAGGUUUUCGGAUCGUAAAACUCUGUUGGUAGAGAAGAACGUUGGUGAGAGUGGAAAGCUCAUCAAGUGACGGUAACUACCCAGAAAGGGACGGCUAACUACGUG
rnacentral:rRNA from 1 species